UCUCUCCCUACUGAGCCCUGGCUGACAGCAGUGGAGUAGCCCUUGCACUGUUGGACUCAGAGGCUUCUAGGAGGGCCUGCCAUGUGCCCGGCCUCUGGCUGCUGUGGUGGCGAGGGGAUGGCUGCAGAAACGUACAGAUUAGGAAAACAGAUUGAUCCAGCUCUGAAGGGGUGAUAUAAAUUAAAGAAGCUUAUGGUCUAUGAAAGAAUACUCUUGAUUCUAUGGAGGGAAGCGUGUUUCUCCCCUUGGGAUUGCAAUCACAACCUUAGAAGCGAGUUCCUGGGGCCGCCAGCUGAACGCACUGCUGCUUCUCCCACACCAAGGGGAGAGUUGGCAGCGGAAAGGCAAUUCAAUUAAACAAAAGGCAGGACACCCGGGAAGUUUGAAAGGAGGG